UACGUAGGGGGCAAGCGUUGUCCGGAAUCAUUGGGCGUAAAGAGCGUGUAGGCGGCUCGGUAAGUCUGCUGUGAAAGUCCAGGGCUCAACCCUGGGAUGCCGGUGGAUACUGUCGAGCUCGAGUCCGGAAGAGGCGAGUGGAAUUCCUGGUGUAGCGGUGAAAUGCGCAGAUAUCAGGAGGAACACCAAUUGCGAAGGCAGCUCGCUGGGACGUUACUGACGCUGAGACGCGAAAGCGUGGGGAGCGAACAGG
rnacentral:rRNA from 1 species